GGUGGCUUGGUGGUAGAGCGCUUGCCUUACAUGCAUGAGGCCUUGGGUUUGAUUCCUCAGCACCA
rnacentral:tRNA from 1 species